rnacentral:rRNA from 1 species
GGAAGUAAAAGUCGUAACAAGGUCUCCGUUGGUGAACUAGCGGAGGGAUCAUUACCGAGUUAUACAACUCAUCAACCCUGUGAACAUACCUAAAACGUUGCUUCGGCGGGAACAGACGGCCCUGUAACAACGGGCCGCCCCCGCCAGAGGACCCCUAACUCUGUUUUUAUAAUGUUUUUCUGAGUAAACAAGCAAAUAAAUUAAAACUUUCGACAACGGACCUCUUGGCUCUGGCAUCGAUGAAGAACGCAGCGAAAUGCGAUAAGUAAUGUGAAUUGCAGAAUUCAGUGAAUCAUCGAAUCUUUGAACGCACAUUGCGCCCGCCAGUAUUCUGGCGGGCAUGCCUGUUCGAGCGUCAUUACAACCCUCAGGCCCCCGGGCCUGGCGUUGGGGAUCGGCGGAAGCCCCCUGUGGGCACACGCCGUCCCUCAAAUACAGUGGCGGUCCCGCCGCAGCUUCCAUUGCGUAGUAGCUAACACCUCGCAGCUGGAGAGCGGCGCGGCCAUGCCGUAAAACACCCAUCUUCUGAAUGUUGACCUCGAAUCAGGUAGGAAUACCCGCUGAACUUAAGCAUAUCAAUAAGCGGAGGAA